UACAGAGGUCUCAAGCGUUGUUCGGAUUCAUUGGGCGUAAAGGGUGCGUAGGCGGCGCGGUAAGUCGGGUGUGAAAUCUUGGAGCUUAACUCCGAAACUGCAUUCGAUACUGCCGUGCUUGAGGACUGGAGAGGAGACUGGAAUUUACGGUGUAGCGGUGAAAUGCGUAGAUAUCGUAAGGAACACCAGUGGCGAAGGCGGCUCACUGGACCGGAACUGACGCUGAGGCGCGAAAGCGUGGGGAGCAAACAGG
rnacentral:rRNA from 1 species